GACCACAUUUGAAGCACUUGUCCUUUCCUUUAUUACAGUUACUCCAAUAUAAUUGAUCAUAAAAUCUGUAGGAAGGAUAUGAUAGAGCUGACUGGCCCAACUAGCCUAAGAUUAAGAACUCUGUGCUUUAUAAUUGUAGCCACUCUAAAAAUGUUUGCCAUCAGAUGACUUUGGGUAGGGAGCACUAGUCAUCGAGUAAGACCCAGAAUUACACCACUUUCUCUUGAACCACUUUUCAUAUCCCUGCCACUCUAUUAUUGGC
rnacentral:lncRNA from 1 species